rnacentral:rRNA from 1 species
AUUGAACGUUGGCGGCAUGCCUUACACAUGCAAGUCGAACGGUAACAGGUCUUCGGAUGCUGACGAGUGGCGAACGGGUGAGUAAUACAUCGGAACGUGCCUAGUAGUGGGGGAUAACUACUCGAAAGAGUGGCUAAUACCGCAUGAGAUCUACGGAUGAAAGCAGGGGAUCGCAAGACCUUGUGCUACUAGAGCGGCCGAUGGCAGAUUAGGUGGUUGGUGGGAUAAAAGCUUACCAAGCCGACGAUCUGUAGCUGGUCUGAGAGGACGAUCAGACACACUGGGACUGAGACACGGCCCAGACUCCUACGGGAGGCAGCAGUGGGGAAUUUUGUACAAUGGGCGAAAGCCUGAUCCAGCAAUGCCGCGUGCAGGAUGAAGGCCUUCGGGUUGUAAACUGCUUUUGUACGGAACGAAAAGCCCCGGGUUAAUACCCUGGGGUCAUGACGGUACCGUAAGAAUAAGCACCGGCUAACUACGUGCCAGCAGCCGCGGUAA